UAAGCACUAUACGGUGAAACUGCGAAUGGCUCAUUAAAUCAGUUAUCGUUUAUUUGAUAGUACCUUACUACAUGGAUAACCGUGGUAAUUCUAGAGCUAAUACAUGCUAAAAACCUCGACUUCGGAAGGGGUGUAUUUAUUAGAUAAAAAACCAAUGCCCUUCGGGGCUCCUUGGUGAAUCAUAAUAACUUAACGAAUCGCAUGGCCUUGCGCCGGCGAUGGUUCAUUCAAAUUUCUGCCCUAUCAACUUUCGAUGGUAGGAUAGUGGCCUACCAUGGUAUCAACGGGUAACGGGGAAUUAGGGUUCGACUCCGGAGAGGGAGCCUGAGAAACGGCUACCACAUCCAAGGAAGGCAGCAGGCGCGCAAAUUACCCAAUCCCGACACGGGGAGGUAGUGACAAUAAAUACUGAUACAGGGCUCUUUUGGGUCUUGUAAUUGGAAUGAGUACAAUUUAAAUCCCUUAACGAGGAACAAUUGGAGGGCAAGUCUGGUGCCAGCAGCCGCGGUAAUUCCAGCUCCAAUAGCGUAUAUUAAAGUUGUUGCAGUUAAAAAGCUCGUAGUUGAACCUUGGGCCUGGCUGGCCGGUCCGCCUCACCGCGUGUACUGGUCCGGCCGGGCCUUUCCUUCUGGGGAACCUCAUGCCCUUCACUGGGCGUGUUGGGGAACCAGGACUUUUACUUUGAAAAAAUUAGAGUGUUCAAAGCAGGCCUUUGCUCGAAUACAUUAGCAUGGAAUAAUAGAAUAGGACGUGUGGUUCUAUUUUGUUGGUUUCUAGGACCGCCGUAAUGAUUAAUAGGGAUAGUCGGGGGCAUCAGUAUUCAAUCGUCAGAGGUGAAAUUCUUGGAUUGAUUGAAGACUAACUACUGCGAAAGCAUUUGCCAAGGAUGUUUUCAUUAAUCAGUGAACGAAAGUUAGGGGAUCGAAGACGAUCAGAUACCGUCGUAGUCUUAACCAUAAACUAUGCCGACUAGGGAUCGGACGGUGUUAGUAUUUUGACCCGUUCGGCACCUUACGAGAAAUCAA
rnacentral:rRNA from 1 species